GGGCGCAUAGCUCAGUGGAUAGAGCAUCCGCCUUCUAAGCGGAUGGUCGCAGGUUCGAACCCUGCUGCGCCCG
rnacentral:tRNA from 1 species